UCAAAGGGCUUUCCUUGCCGAAAGUAUUAUGUCACUUCGCCUAAGUUCUUUUCCAACAUCCUUGAAAGCGAGUAGCAUAGCUCCCACCAGUUUUGCUUGAAUCUUCUUCAUUUAGAGAGGAGCAGGGAAGACUCAAAAUGGUGUGGAUAUGCGGACGUAAUAAACCUAAAGAACAGCUUGUUCAUAAGGAAGAAAGAACUUCAGUGAAACAAAAAAUCUGCUAUGGAGUGGGACAUGUAUUUAACGAUCUUUGCAUUCAAGCUUGGUUCACCUAUCUCAUCAUAUUCUUCAACAAGAUAGUCAAAAUUUCCGCCACAGGUACCGGUUACAUUUUUCUUUCGUCGCAAAUCGCGGACGCGAUAUCCACGCCGUUCAUAGGCUACGGUUGCGACAAAUCUCUCUCCAAGAAAAUUAGCAAGAAAUACGGCAACAGGAAGAUAUGGCAUUUAUUCGGCAGCGUUGGAAUCGCGCUGAUUUGGCCCUUCGUGUUUAGCCCGUGUUUGGUUUGCAAAGAAGAUAGCCCUGACUGGGUGCCGGUCGCUUAUUAUGGAGUAUUCGCAGCCUUGUUCAGCGUUUGUUGGCCUAUGGUGGAAAUCAGCCAUUUGUCUCUUAUGCCGCACGUCGCUAAACGUUCAAAAGAUGCCGUGGAACUGAGCGCAAUAAGAUCUGCACUGAAGCUGGGAUGUGGAGUGUUUGUGUAUGUGGUCACUUGGAUUCUUCUGGGACAGAACAGCGAAGAAACUGUGGACGAAUCAGCUCAAAAACAAUUUACGUAUCAAUCUAUAAUCGUAAUGCUGACGGGAAGUUUCUUCGCCUUAAUAUUUCACUGGGGUGUAGAUGAAGCGGACCACUCACCAGAGCAAGAAAAAGAAAAACCUUCAAAAGCUCUACUCCCAGCCAGUGCUCCAGAGUGUAAAGACCUAGAGAAGCAAGCUCUUGAAAUCGAACUUCAGAGACAAGAAAACCAGGAACAACAGAACGACAGUAAAAUGACGUGGAAACAAUGGUUUAAAAAUCCUGACUUUUAUAAGAUUGUUUUGAUAUACAUGACGACGCAAAAUGUAGUUAAUCUGAACCAGUCAUAUUUUCCAAUGUACUUAACAGAUACACUCCAUUUUGAAAAGGAAGCUAUUGCUUACUUCCCCUUAAUGAUUCUAAUCAGUGGAAUUCUUACAAGCACGAUUAUAAAACGACUAAACAGAUACUUCUCUAACAGGGUGCUGUUUUGUGCCGGUGCGGUGAUUGUUAUCGGUUGUGCCACGUGGUUUUAUUUCACCCCCCAGUCACAAAGAGAUAUGAUCUACGCGCCAACAAUCAUCAUGGGCGCGGGAAACUCCAUGAUGUUAGUGACGUCACUUGCCAUGGUGGCGGAAAUAAUCGGUGAUGACAAAAAAUCUAGUGGUUUUGUGUACGGUGUUUGUGCUUUGAUGGACAAAACAUCCCUUGGGUUUAUAGUGUUAGGACUGCAAGAAAAUUAUCCCGAAACAAAAGGACCCUGUGGCGAACCUUGUGCCCAGUACCUCAGAGGCGCAUUCUCGGUAUUUCCUGGUAUCGAGGCUCUGGUCGCUUUCUUGAUUGUAGCCUUGUUGUAUCGUCCAUCUUCCAACAAAAAUAUGAAACGACGAAUGACCAUUUCAGGUAAAGAGGAAGUGUACAUUGACGAUAUCGACUUUAAAGUACUGCCUUAUCUGAAAUCGACAGAAGUAUAACACUGCAGUUAACACCUCUCCAGACAUCUACUGCAGUUCCGGUUCACGUGAUCAGAGUGUGUUGUGAAUGUGAUGAGUGCAAAGGGCAAAGAGCAAAGAGCAAUCGCGCGAUUGCGGCCUAUGAACACGUGGACCUAGACAUACGCCUCAAAGGCGAAGUACCAAUUGAACAUCUAUAGCAAAAAAAAAUGAAUUUCAAUUUGGGACAUUGCUGGUGUUUUACUCGUAAUAUAUAAAAACCUUUCGAAUCAUGUUAAAGAUCAUUUUUAAAAUUGAAGACAGAAUUAUUUAUACCUCACUGGAAAAGUCAAACGGCUCGUACCUUUUUAGAAAAGAGGAUUUUUGAAUUGAAAUUGAUAAUUUAUAUUAUGGGUAGUUAGUUAAUAUAGUGGUCGGGUAACUUCAAAGCCCUUGUUAUCGUUUUUACACAAAUACAUUGGUUUGGUUAUGACUAGCACAAGUUAAGGUCUUAAGUUUUGAAUAAUCGAACACUUGCAGAUAAAUGCAAAACUAAAGGAGUAACACAAUCAUUUGCGGUGGUCAGUAUUUAAUUCUAGUUUUUCAAGCCCGAGCAGAUGAGCCAAUCAGCGUGGCGUGCCUCAGCCAAUCAAAUGCUAUAAAAAGAUGAAGAUUGGUCCCAGUCCGUUCUCCUCUUGAUUUUGUGGUUGUUUGGUUUCUUGCUGCCGGUUAACAAUGUUGUUUUGUUUUAGUUAACAAUGUCUUUGUUUGUAACUGAGUUUUAAUCACUUUGGUUAAUUUAACUAAAGGGGUGUGUCGCUUAUGUGACAUGUUCUCAGUCAGGUCGUUUAUAAGAAUCAAGUUACCACCUCUUGGCAUCACAAUCUUGCCCAUUUUCAACAUCCGUAUUCCCCUUAAACAUCUACAUAGAUGCUUCUCCUCUGUUGUGUCAAAUACAUGAAGGUUUCCCUUGAUUCUGAGACUACUUUGAAUGUGACUCAAUAGCUGACCCAGCCUAUUUCAUUUAAAGUUCUUUCAUACUCAAAUAUUUGGUACUUAACUUUUUCAACUCUGACAUAAAAACUACUUGUAUUGAAAAAAAGUGUGGUUUCAUAGCGAAGGGUGUGUACCGGUAAACUUAAUUAAAAGAGUUUGCUAAAAUAA
rnacentral:misc_RNA from 1 species